CAAUCACCCGUUCGUCGUCGGAUUCCUUGGGUUGGUAGCCGUACACAGACCUGCUCAGACUAAAAGCUCGACAGGCACGGCGUAAGCUCAACCCAUGCUCGACGUGGACGUAGGUGACCAACUCGCGUUUGUCGGCUGGCCUU
rfam:Desulfovibrio sp. TomC contig00048, whole genome shotgun sequence.